rnacentral:lncRNA from 1 species
UAAUACACAGUUCAGACGUAGAAAAUUAUUAAAAAUCAAAGGAAAAGCGGCGAAAUAUCUACCACCAACACCUAUGAAUAGAUUCAGGCAAAAUUCUAACGGUACAGAACAACAUAUUAAAAUCACCAGUUAAAGUCAAUCAAAAUGGAAAAAAAACUACAACAUAGAGAAUAAAGGCUUCGUCAAGCAACAACAAAAAAGCAAAGCCCCGGCCACAUGCAGUGGUAUGAUCCUAUCCUUUACCGUCAAGGCGUCAAGUAAUUCGUUUAAUGCUAGGAAAUACGCCACCAUGAAUUUGUCAAUAAUCUCCCGAUAAAUUCCUCCAAUGAACAACAGCUUCCCAUCUUCCAUUUCUUGCUUCCAUUUCUUGUAUCUGCAUACAUGAUUGUCGAUCGACCAAUUAAUUUGCAGUUUAGAUAUCUACUCCAAUGAGCCGAUAUACAUAGAAUCAAUGUAC